UGAAAAUUUAAUAAUGGUGCGGUCUUACUGCAUUUGCAAGAACAUGGUGUUCGAGGAGAUGUUUCUUUCCAUCGUGUUCCUGAAAGAUGAAUUAAGAGAUAAGUGGAUCAGUAUUAUUGGAUAUAAAAUCGUUAAAAGCAGUGCUAUUUGAAGUGAUCAUUUCACAGACACUGACUUUCAAUUUAAAUUUAUAAAAGAUGUGCCAAAAAGAUAUUUAAUACCUGAUGCUGUUCCCAGUUUACUCCUUCCAAUACAGCAGAAAACGACACUUACAAUUAGUGAUUCAUCACAGGAUAUCAAACAAGCAGUUGAUUAUAAUAGUGAUACCAGUGAUAAAUUAUCUAC